UGUAUUAUAAGCGAUCUAGAGAUGAUUGAAAGCGUACAUGGAGAUGUUGCCUAGGUUAUAUGCAAAUACCUCAUCAUUUUAUAUAAAGGACUCAAGCAUCUGCAGAGCUGGGUAUCUGUGGGGGAUCCUGGAACCAAACCCCCAUGGCUACAGAGGGAUGCAGAAGGGAUUGGGGGUGGAAGGCCAGAAUGGGCAUCCCUAUAAUUAGCCAGCCCCGCCCUGACUUUUCCCGGGAAGCAGCCUCUCGCUGUUCUGCCUCCCUUCCCUGUGCCUCCCCCAGGACUCACCUGACUCUGAGCUUCCGGACUCAGCUUGUCUGAUUCUCUGUCAUCUGCUCGGUUUUUCUGCCCUGUGCUCUCCCCUCCUCUGUCUCCUCCUCCCUUUCCUGAGGUGGGUCCCCUGUGUGCUUCAAUCCAUGGGACUCCAGGCCUCACCCCCAACGAACCUGCUCGCCUGGGUCCCCUGAAUCAAUCAAGCACAAUUUGAUUGUCCCUGGUUCCCCAGGGCAGGGACCUAAGAUCAUUUUGGAUUUGCAUGUCCUUCAAAAUAAUUGUAUUACUUUAUAAGUUUUAUACAUGUAAGGCUGCGAGCAGGAUAUUAAGAAAUAGAAGGGGAAAAGCUAAUGAAGAUAAAACAUAAAUGGAAAUUGCAAUUUUUUUCUUCCUGCUGUCCUAAUUAUUAUUAUUAUUAUUUAACUCCCAGGGUAUGUUCUUCCCACUUUGGAAGCCAUAGCCACGGG
rnacentral:lncRNA from 1 species